GUCAUGUCAGAAGUCCACUGCCCUGAGACUGCCAUGCUGGAGAGGCCAUGUAAAGGUGAUCUGGUCAACAGCCUUCCUUCAGGCAUCCUUGUCAAAGCAUAGAUAUGUGAGUGAACUCAUCUGAGAUUUUCCACUGGCCAACUGAACACUACUAAGUGACCUCAUAUGGGCUGCCUUCUUAGGGACAGCUGCAACCCCCAUUCCCCCACGCAUGAGCUGCCUUGGGUUACGUGGUCAAUACAGAGAAGAGAAGUAACUACAAUAGAGGUAUUCCUUAGCAGCAACCAGGAAAAGAAAAGAAUGAGAAAAAGAAUCCAAUUCCUAUUUCAUAUUCCAUAAUCAAGACAAGAAUAAGAAGAUGGAAACACUUAAGGCAGAGGAUUGAAGGUGAGUGAAAACAUAUGAGGGACGGAUUGUGGAGGAGAUGGAGUGGACAAGAAUAUAAAUAGAGUAUUGUGGCACAGCCCCAAAAAUAUAUACAUAUAUAUAUUACAAAGCAAGUCAAUUACAUCAUAGAGUCAGUCAUGCCAGUUGGUCAAUAUCUUGUGAAACAAAUAAUGUG
rnacentral:lncRNA from 1 species